rnacentral:tRNA from 1 species
UCCCAGGUGGCCAAGUGGUAAAGAAUCUGCCUGCCAAGCAGGAGACUUGGGUUCAAUACCCAAGACUGGGUU